GACGAACGCUGGCGGCGUGCUUAACACAUGCAAGUCGAACGGAAACGCACUGCUUUUUUGGGGUGCUGGAGUGGCGAACGGGUGAGUAAGACGUAAGUAACCUGCCCUUCAUUUUGGUAUAACUUCAGGAAACUGGGGCUAAUACCGGACAGCAGCUCCUGCUGCAUGGUGGGGGUUGGAUCGUUUCGGCGGUUGGGGAUGGACGCGCGGCUUACCAGCUUGUUGGUGGGGUAGUGGCUUACCAAGGCUUUGGCGGGUAGCCGGCCUGAGAGGGUGACCGGCCACAUUGGGACUGAGGUACGGCCCAGACUGCUACGGGAGGCAGCAGUGGGGAAUAUUGCACAAUGGGCGGGAGCCUGAUGCAGCGACGCCGCGUGCGGGAUGACGGCCUUCGGGUUGUAAACCGCUUUCGCCUGUGACGAAGCGUGAGUGACGGUAAUGGGUAAAGAAGCACCGGCUAACUACGUG
rnacentral:rRNA from 1 species